rnacentral:rRNA from 1 species
CCUACGGGAGGCAGCAGUGAGGAAUAUUGGUCAAUGGGCGCGAGCCUGAACCAGCCAAGUAGCGUGAAGGAUGACUGCCCUACGGGUUGUAAACUUCUUUUAUAAAGGAAUAAAGUGAGGCACGUGUGCCUUUUUGUAUGUAGUUUAUGAGUAAGGAUCGGCUAACUCCGUGCCAGCAGCCGCGGUAAUACUGAGGAUCCGAGCGUUAUCCGGAUUUAUUGGGUUUCAAGGGAGCGUAGAUGGGUUGUUAAGUCAGUUGUGAAAGUUUGCGGCUCAACCGUAAAAUUGCAAUUGAUACUGGCAGUCUUGAGUACAGUGGAGGUAGGAGGAAUUCGUGGUGUAGCGGUGAAAUGCUUAGAUAUCACGAAGAACGCCGAUUGUGAAGGCAGCGUACUAAACUGCCACUGACAUUGAUGCUCGAAAGUGUGGGUAUCAAACAGGAUUAGAUACCCCUGUAGUC